GACGAACGCUGGCGGCGUGCUUAACACAUGCAAGUCGAACGGAAAGGCCCUGCUUGCUGGGUCCUCGAGUGGCGAACGGGUGAGUAACACGUGGGUGCUCUGCCCUGCACUUCUGCAUAAGCCUGGGCAACUGGGUCUAAUACCGGAUAGCAGCCAUUUUUAGUGUGUUGGUUGGAAAGUUUUUUGGGUGUAGGAUGAGUUCGCGGCCUAUCAGCUUGUUGGUGGGGUAAUGGCCUACCAAGGCGGCGAGGGGUAGCCGGACUGAGGGGGUGGACGGCCACAUUGGGACCGAGAGAAGGCACAGAUGGCGACGAGAGGAAGAAGUGGGGAAGAUUGAACAAGGGGCGCAAGGUGGGUGAAGCGAGGCUGCGGGGGGGAAGACGGCCUUGGGGGUGAAGAAAAGCUGCGGGAGGGAAGAAGCUUGUUGUGACGGUACCUAGAGAAGAAGCACCGGCUAACUACGUG
rnacentral:rRNA from 1 species